CAAAGUACUUUGCCAACAAGUAUCCCAACACAUGUCCAUUUGCUUUAAUCCACAGAAGAAUGGCAUUGUGGGUCGGUAGCCCACAACCUCUGUGUGACUGGAAUUUCCCUGGGUUGGAAACUCAUAGUUCCAGAUUUGCUGUUGGGUGUGUGGGUGUCACGGUAACCCCCUGAGCAUGAAGACAUAUGGGAGUAGGUUUGUGUUUGGAAGGGGAGCCAUGGCAGUUUCACGGGGAACUCCCUUUCUCAUUUUUCCAGUCCCCUCAUAUAUCUAAGUCACCCUGUGCUUAUUAGAGGCACAUGGUGACUGGGUAACCCAGUCUAAUCUACUCAAGCCAGACUUCCACAAAUUAAUCAGCUAACAAGGCUCCAUGUGGGAGCCCAACCAGGACAAACCUAAAAACUCUGUGAAACUGCCAAGCCGAUAGGUACAACCCAAUGGAACUUUAACCGGAUGUAGCUCAGACCAUCAAAUUAAAUCUUUAAAGAGGUGUUGCUAGGGCACCCCAACACCCAAUUGGGACAAUAUUCAGCCUAGAUACAUUGGGG